rnacentral:lncRNA from 1 species
GUAAACUGAGUAAACUGAUAUCAAGAGUGAUAAGUGAUGCUGCUCUGUUAAACUCAAUGUUAAAAUCUUUGUGCCACAUGGUGAAAAUAAAUCUAUAGAACAAAAGGUAAUGCAACAACAACACAGUACCUGUAUUAUUAAGGCUGUGUCUUUAAUUCAGUGUUUUCUACAUUAGCAUUUUUGAGGAUCACAUUCCUGUAAAGGCUGGAUUCUCUGCCUCAGUGCUGACAGGAGCUAAAGCUAACAGGACUCCUGCUGUCAGGCCCUCAUAUCUCACUGACUCACUGGAUUUGAAGAAAACUGCCUCCUGCUCUGAUGAAAAUCCUCUUAAAGAGCUGCUCUGAAUUUUACUGCAGAAUCGCUGUGUUUUACUCGCCUCAUACAGUCAGAAUACUAGUUGUACACUCAUAGUGUUUUGCCGUUUGCUUCAAACGUGCUUCUGAAAGAUGUGUUUUAGACUGACUUUAGGUUGGAUAUUUUUGUUGGACCUGGCAACCCUGCUUAAAGCUUUCCUCACCAUCAGUUUCAUUUCUGCUUCUCUCAGCUUGUCCAGAAAAGCAUGUGUAAAGUGUGUUCUUUAGGGCUAACUUAAAGCUUUUCUUACUUUGAGUGUCGCUUCUUUAUCUCUUUUAGCUUGUCCAAAAAAGCAUGUGUAGAGCAUGUAUCUUUAGAACUAACGCAAAGCUUCUCUCAUUUUAAAUGUUGCUUCCGUAUCCCUCAGCUUGUCCAGAAAAGCAUGUGUAAGGCAUGUCUUUUUAGGGUUAACUCAAAAGCUUUCCUCACUGUGUGUUUUUUUAUGGCUUCACCCAAAGAACCGUUUGAAGAAUCUGAUUUGUUGAAAGUGUAAUAUUGCUUUGUACAGAAAAAACAUUACAAUAUAAUCAUAUAAAAUAAUUAAUAAUUUCCUCAGCUGACAGUCUGCCACUCAAAAGAGCUUAAAAUCAGCUUUCCUGCAGCUGCAGACUCCUAAC